GCCAGGCACUGUGGUGUGUGCCUGUAAUCCCAAUGUCUCAGGAGGCUGAGGCAGGAGAUGCAAGUUUGAGGCCAGCCUCAGAAAACUAGCAAGGCCCUAAACAACUUAGCAAGACUCUGUCUCAA
rnacentral:sRNA from 1 species